AACGCACCUUGCGCUCCAUGGUAUUCCAUGGAGCAUGCCUGUUUGAGUGUCACGUGAAACUAUCACUCUUGUCCUGUCGCAAGACAUGUCAGGAUGUGGACUUGGACUGUGCCGUAGUUGGCUCGUCUUGAAAUGCAUUAGCCGUGCUGGUUAGAUUCGGCCACCUGGUGUGAUAUAUGUCUACGCCUACCGUGCUGUUUCUUCCUGAGUGUGGCUUAUAAUCGUCGCUUGUUCGACAAUACAAAUUAACGCUCUGGCCUCAAAUCAGGUAGGACUACCCGCUGAACUUAA
rnacentral:misc_RNA from 1 species